GUGGUUUAGCAUAAAACCUCAGAAUGUCACAAGAGUCGUCAAGCCAGCUGUGAAGAGUCGGGGAGGGACCAGCAAAGUCCAAGUCACCAGUGCAACAAUCUCUUCGUAAGGUCCAGUAAUGACCUAAGCAAUAAUAUUUCCAAAUUCCUAGUCACCUGCUUCAUGUGUCCUACUUUUAGUCCAAUAACUAGUCAAAACAUCAUUGUUAUGCAAACACCAGUGGACUUUUGACUGUAAAAGUAGGAAUACCUAAAUUCUACUUUUUUCUUUUUUGUUUUUUUUUGAGAUGGGGUCUCAAUCUUUCACCUAGACUGGAGUGCCAUGGCGUGAUCUCGGCUCACUGCAAUCUCCACCUCCCAGGCCUAAGAGAUCCUCCCACCUCAUCCCCCAAAGGGGCUGAGGUGGGAGGGUCGCUUGAGCCCAGAGAGGUCAAGGCUGCAGUGAGCUGAGAUGGCACCACUACACUCUGGCCUGAGCAACAGAGUGACACCCUGUCUCAAAAAAUAAUAAUAAAAUAAAAGGAGAACUACAAAACAGAAUUCUUUAGAAUGAAAUUAGAGUAAAUAAAAUUGAAAAGCCCAAUGGGCUUCUACUGUGUCCGGAAUUGGUGGGUUCUUGGUCUCACUGACUUCAAGAAUGAAGCCGCGGACCCUCGCGGUGAGUGUUACAGCUCUUAAGGUAGCACGUCUGGAGUUUGUUCCUUCUGAUGUUCGGAUGUGUCCGGAAUUUC
rnacentral:lncRNA from 1 species